GCUGGUUUUAAAAUGGUAGAAGAAUUUGUAGGAUGAAGUUGUGUAGUGUGCAGAUCAUAUUUGUGACUCCGAAAUCCGAAUGUGUUAUAAGAACUCAACGCUGAUUAAAGGAGAAAUAUGACUUGAGAUGGUGAAGAAGGGCAUGGUGACUGACCUGCAAACAGAAGGAAUGAAAACCAGUAGCGUUCGUCUCUGUCUCGUUCGCGACUCGUUGGGCGUCUUACAACUCAGAGUAGAUCUCUGAAUAAGGGAACACCUUUCAGUGCCAUGAAGCUCUACGUAGUCGCACAACUAAACAGCUCUAUCCUUGGCCAGGGAUUCAAGAUGAAAGAUAGGUAUCAUUUUUGAAGCUAACGAUGAGAGACUGGAAUUCCAUUCGUUUUUGCUCGAUUGGGCCAGGUUCGCCGCAAGGAAGACUUUUUUUCGCCCCACUAUUUGUGGAGCUGACAAGAAAAACAUUGAUUGAAUGAGCUCCCAAGUUCACAAUGUAACAUUACAACCAGCGAAUUAAUUACAGGAUAUUACUACUAAACUACACAGCGCUUAACGGCCAGGCUCCUACCGACAUUACUGAAGUGCUCGAGCCCUAUGUACCAACCGGGAAUUUGAGAUCCUCUUCCAAGAACUUACUGUAAGUACCAUCUGUCAAGCUAGUAAGUUAUAAGGCUAUAAGUGUUUCUCUUUCGCGGCACCUAGCUUACGCAACUUUCGUCCCAACAAUAUCAAACAGCAGCUCACUAUCAAAUUUCGAGACCCUUCCAUAGAAACGUCUUUUUAAUCAAUCUUACCGUCAGUUUAGCAUGCGACAUGGCUUUUGAAACUUAAAUUCACGUACUGCUGUUAAUAUGUUUUUAUCUCUCUUCUCGGAUCCAAUAUUAUGAUUAUAAAUUUUUUU